CCGAGACGGGCGGAUCACGAGGUCAGGAGAUCGAGACCAUCCUGUCAGGAUGGUCUCGAUCUCCUGACCUCGUGAUCCGCCCGUCUCGG
rnacentral:pre_miRNA from 1 species